UGCAGAUUUCAUGGAAAACUCACCUGUAGACGUGAAUGUGAAGCAACUAGACGGAUCUUCCAGGUCCCCCGCAUGCAGUGUGACUGGCUCUCUGGAAACAAGAACAGUGUGCAGAUUUAUUCUGCCAAUCUAACUGGACUGACAAACACCUAGGUAGAGAAUCUAAUCUAAAUGCCAACGCAAACAUGUCUUUUCUAAGGCACAGCACGAAGAUACAGGGACCAAGGCAAGCAAUCCAGUGCACAAGUCCAUUUCAACUGCUAGUCAUUAGACAGCACCGGCCUUCUAUGUGAACAGCACCUGCAGUGGUUCUGAUGAUCCUGCUGCGUUCUAAAUACAGGACUU